rnacentral:tRNA from 1 species
GGAGAGGUGGCCGAGUGGCUGAAGGCACCACACUGCUAACGUGGCAGACCGCAAGGUCUCGAGGGUUCGAAUCCCUCCCUCUCCGCCA